AAAAGAGACAGGAACCAUUCCCAAGUAUUCAUUAUAAUGUAUCUUGUUAAAGAAUAUCUGUCACCAGAAUUCUAAAAUCUUUAUAAACAGUGGUAAAAAUGUGAAAUACUGAUAUUGUAACACCAAUUAAGCCUACCAUUUUUCCCAAUGUAUUCAAUGUUUUAAAGGAGGCUAUUUCUCUUUGCAAUCUUUCCAGGUAGACUCACAGAAAGCCAACCAUUUCAUAGAACUAGAUCUGUGCAACUGAGUGGAGAUCGGGCUGCCCAUGGCUGAGACGUAGGGACCACCCUCCCUCACACAGCAAAGGCAUGCUUGCAGGGACUGCGUGCCAUUCACAUUUGUUUUUCUAGACCCUUACACACAUCUGAACAUUAAAGAUGCCCAAGAAAUCCUCAAUGAAAAGAAAAAGGUGCAGAGACUCAGUGAAUGUAUACGGCUUCUCCUUAGUCUCAAUUUUUCGUGCUUUCUCUCCUUCCGCACUCUCAGCCUCUUUUUAUUCUCCUCCUUUCUUCUUGUGCUAGGAGCUUGGGAGGACCCAUGAUGGUUCCUCCUUCAAGUAGAGUGAAAAAAGGAGGGCUAUAGGCUAUAACUCUUUUCUAUUUAAAAUUCCUUUGGGCUGAAAGAGGAAAGCAGAGGGCAUUAUCACAAACUGUGAAGCACAGACCACCAAUAUCCUUCUGUUGGAGGAGGUCAUGGAGAGGAGGUGACCACUGGCUGACCUGUGAGCAGGAGCUGGGCAAUCAGAGGCUCCUCACUCCUCUCCUGUGCUUGGAAUGUGUGUUUGGCCCACUGUUCCCACAGCUGGAGCCAUUUUCAAGGUGUAGCCUUGAGCUAGUAAGGUGUUGUAGAGGCCACCUGGAUGGCAUUAAGGCCUCUAUAUAAACUUUAUGUUUCUGGCGGUUGGGUGCGUAGAUCUACUCGUCUUGUGACUGCUAAGACAAGCCUUAUAUGGCAGCCUGUUCAGGGAGCCAAGAGCCCCUUUCCAGUGACCUGUAAGAGGGGCCCCUCCUUGUUUGGGACAGCCCCCAGGGAAAGAGACGCUGCCCAACUGAACCAGCUGAUCAUCCUAGAACUAACUGCUCCCCAGACUGCCGUCCCUCCUCGCUGGGGGCCACCUCUCCUGGUCAAGUCAGCUGCUAUGACAGAUGAACACAGACUGGGCAGCUUAAACAACAGACAUUUGUUGCUCACAGGUCCCGAGGCUGGAAGCGUGAAAUUGGGGUGUCUGCAUGGCCGUGUUUUGGUGAGGGCUCUCUUCCUGACUUGUGGAUGGCUGUGUGCUUCCUGGCAUCAUGCUGUGUGCUCAAAGAUGGAGUAAAGAAGACUGCCCUCCAACGUGGGUGGAUCUCAGCCAAUUGUCCAGGACUGGAAGAGGAAAAAAAGGUGGAAGGAAGGGAAAGUUGGUUUUGUCUGCCUGGCUGUUGAGCUGGAACAUGGAUCUUCCCCUGCCCUCAGACCAGGACCCGCACCAUCAUUUCUCCUGGUUCUCAGGCUUUUGAUUUGGACUGGAACUAUGCCACCAGCUCUCCUGGGUCUCCAGCAUGUAGAUGGCAGAUCAUGGGACUUCUGGGCUUCCAUAACCACGAACUUCGAGGGCGUGCUUUCUCCGGCCAUUAUAGGACACAUUAUUGGAGUUCCGCUGCAUAUAUUUGGCCCAUGGCCCAUAUGGUGGCACAAUCAGAGAGUACAGAGGCAGGGAAUGUUCCAGACCAUGCCCAUCAACUCUGAUUUAUGCUGAACUUUUCCCUGAUACUUCAGAAAGGGUCUUCCUCACCGAGUUCACCCCUCCGAUGCUCCUAGCGACUGUGUUACAAACACUGAACUGACACUGCAUGUGUUUUUUUCCCCUAGAGAUUGAGCAAUAAUCCACUUACCACUUCUAAACAGGACACAUGUUAUUGUCACAGAAAGCUGCCCUAAGGGAUGCUGCAGAGCCGCCUAGCUUAAAAUCACCCUAUAUUCUUUCUUUCUGACGUAUGAUUUUUAGCUAUUGUUAUAUAGAUCAUGUUGAUGUAGUAAUUGCAUUUUCUCUGGUUUUUAGAACUCCUUUACAUUUGUUAAAUCAGAAAUCCCUUCCGAACAGAAGUUUUCUGUUGUAUGUGACCAGCAUCUGCAUGAUUCAACUCACAAUGGUGCUUGAGGAAGUCGAUAUUAAUCCAGUGGUUAUCGCUGGGGAGUGGGGAUCAAAUGAGGGGUAGAGAGUUUUAUUUUCUAUUUCAUAAGCUUCUGUGUUGUUCAUUUAUUGUCACCAUAAGCAGAUGUCACAUUUCUAAUAACACAUAAAGGAAAUAUUUUCACAACGUGCACAAACAGUUGCAAAGAGGGUUAAAUUGGUAAAUCCCUCAGUUAUGCAUCCCAGGGAUCAGUCCCUUUCGAGGUACAAUUUAAUGGAAUCGAAGUCUAAUUCAAUUUUUGGACUUGCUUUCUGGGAGUCCUAGUUGCUCUGUGUUAGAAUGAUUGUGAGAUCCCCUGGGAAUUGCUUUCUGAGUACAAAACUUCAGAGAGUGGGAAGGAGCUGUUCCUGCUGCUGAAGGCAUUUGUUACACAUUUUCAGAAAUGAAUUUGAAGACAUUGCAAAGGCGAUAUUCUUUUUGCCAGUGUUUGAAUGAUUUUUAAAUAACAAUCUACUGGAAGUUUUUAAAUUUGGUAUUGCUGUUUAAUAUUAAUGAGCUUCCACAGUGUUAUCUAUCAUUCAUAAUAAAAAAAAAUCUCUCUGUAUAAGGAGAUACAAAGUUAUGCCGCCAUCAGGAUGAUUUUAAGUUAAAGGGAAAAUAAUCCUACCAACCUACAGAAAGACUGUAACCCUGUCUUUGUGUAGAUUUUCUUCCAAGCAUUUUGGUCAAAAUAUUUUUUAAGCUAGCCAUGUAGAUGGGAAGAAUGCAAGUCUUCUGAGAGUCAAUGAAUAUUCUGGAAAAUGUUUCAUUCAAUGAGUACAUUAAUUAGACUCUCUUGAUUCGAGGUGACAGAAACUGAAGUAGCAUAAGUGGAAAAGGUAAUAUAUUUGCUCAUGAAACUAAGUAUGGGGUAGGGGGUAUACAUGAUGAGUUUUAGGUGUGACUUGUUCCAGGGGCUCCAGCAACGUUGUUGGGCCUCUGUCUCUCUCUCUGCUUCUCUUGGCUCUGUUUCACUUAAAUGUUGGCUUCACUCUCAGGCAUGUUUUGACUGUAUGACGGGAAAGAUCACUCCUGGCUAGUGGGUGGGAGUGCCAAACUUGUUCCAAAAGGAAGAGAAAGCCACUCUUUUUCCCACAGUCCAUAUAGCAAAACCCAGGAAAGAUUCUAAUCGAACCUAUUGAAACGACCCCUGCCAGGGAGAUGGAGUUCAUUGGUUGGCCAGGUUGCAUCACCUUCCUGCUAUGAUGGGGGUUUGGGUGGGCCUCAUGGUGAACAACCCCACCAGGACAACGUGGAGUGGAGGAGGGGUUGUUCUAAAAAGAGAAGUCAUUGGAUGGACAAACCACAGUACCCACCAUGGAAAGCCACUUCCCUGGGAUCUGAUAAAUUCAUCAGCACCUAGGGAGACUGCCUAAUGGUAAUUACAUUCAGGCACUUGAUAAUUAAGUUGAUAUUGCAUUCUCUUAACUUUCAGUUCUAGCCUAGUAGUUGUAAAAAAUUACUUAGUUAUAAAUCACUUAGAACUCUUGCCACUUUUGUUCAACACAGUGUUGGAAGUCCUAGCCAGAAGCAAUUAGGCAAGAAAAAUAAAUAAAAGACAUCCAAAUCGGAAAGAAAGAAGUAAAACUGUCACUAUUUGCAGAUGACAUAUUAUAUACAGAAAACCCUAAAGACUCUCUCAAAAAACUGUUAGAACUAGUAAACAAAUUCAGUAAAGUUGUAGGAUACAAAAUCAAUAUGCAAAAACCUGUUGUAUUUCUAUACACUAAUAACAAACAAUAUAUCAGAGAAAUAAAGAAAACAAUCCCAUUGACAAUUUCAUCAAAAAGAAUAAGAUACCUAGGAAUAAAUUUAACUAAUGCAGUGAAAGAUCUGUAUAUUAAAAACUAUAAGGCAUUAGUGAAAGAAAUUGGAGAAAAAU
ensembl:lncRNA